GCGAUAGCUCAGUUGGUAGAGCGGUUGACUGUAGAGUUUGUGGUUUGAAAGCAAACAUUGAUAUCAACUGGUCAUGUGUUCGAUUCACAUUC
rnacentral:ncRNA from 16 species